rnacentral:lncRNA from 1 species
AAAAAGGCAGCUAGCAGAAUGUAGCCAUCUUGUCUUCCCUUUUAGUCAAUGAAGAGCAAUAGUCUUCUUGAACUGUGGGACAUUCUGUCCUGAUAGAGGGAAAGGUUGUGGCACGCUACACACUGAAUUUCUGCUUCAGCACUUGUGUAACGCCUGGAUGCUGUAUCAGAGGCGGGACCAGUGGGUGGCUGUGCACAAAGCAGAGUGUUGAACCUGAUGCCUACAGGAUCCGUGGGAGAAGCCUUUUGGGUAGGAGUGAGGAUCUGACUGAUGAUCAAGCUGUGAUUCGGGCCUCCAAGCCAGAGAAAACACACAAGAGUGCUGUAAAAGUUGCAGGUCACCGAGGUUACAUACUCCAACUAUGUGAAGGCUCUAUGAAUAUGAAGACUUCUUCCUUUUAGCUGCUUUGGUAGCGGAAUAGCACGUGGUUAUAAAUUACAAUUUUCUUUUUCAAACGUCUAGAAAGACAACAAAAAUUUGAAACACUGAUUCAAAUAGGUCCAAUUUCAAACUGUUUAACAUCGGAACUCUAGGGACUGUAUUUUAUUGGUGGAAGAUGGCACUCCAAUGAUGUCAGUGUGGCUCACAAACUUCAGCAUCUCCAGAUGUACCCAUAAACUGUAAACAUCCUCUUUAUUCUGUUUUCCCAUCAGCACUGAGCAGGUUAAAGAAGAAUAUUUGCCUUGGUAAGCAGUCAAAAAUUUUCCAGUCCAUGAAAAGUGUUAGUAAACAU